GUCCUAGCCGUAAACAAUGGGCACUAGGUGUUGUCGGUAUCGACCCCGGCAGUGCCGAAGCUAACGCAUUAAGUGCCCCGCCUGGGGAGUACGACCGCAAGGUUAAAACUCAAAGGAAUUGACGGGGCCCGCACAAGCAGCGGAGCGUGCGGUUUAAUUCGAUGGUACGCGAAGAACCUUACCCAGACUUGACAUGCGAGUGGUAGGAACCUGAAAAGGGAACCGACCCGCAAAGGGAGCUCGUACAGGUGUUGCACGGCUGUCGU
rnacentral:rRNA from 1 species